AAAAGUUUCUGAGUACAUUUGUGGAACAUUGGUGAUGCAAUUCAUUGAAUUCAUUCAUUUGGAUGUUUAGUAACGUCGCUGAAACUGCUUACCAAAAAAAUAUGUCGUGGAAAAACUGCUAUGUCUGUGGUUCAAACCAACACAAUUAUUUAUUUCUCAAAAGAACUAUAACCACACUCUUACUAUCUAUAUCACAUUAGAGUUCAACCAGUUACUUAUUAUGUACAAUCAUUUCCAAGUUUCCUAACGUGUAAACUAACGCUAAACAUAUAAAUAUUGAGGAGCCAGAUCCUUUUUUUUGACUGUGAAUUUUAGGCUGGAUUGUGGACUUGAAUUGUGUUAGAUCUCAGCUUAUAGACAAUUUUUUGCUGUUGUCCAUUCUCAUUUUUGGGAAAAAGUGGAGUAGGAAACACCUUUUGAGACUUUCAUUAUUUAC